AGUGAACGCUGGCGGUAGGCCUAACACAUGCAAGUCGAACGGCAGCACAGUAAGAGCUUGCUCUUACGGGUGGCGAGUGGCGGACGGGUGAGGAAUACAUCGGAAUCUACUUUUUCGUGGGGGAAAACGUAGGGAAACUUACGCUAAUACCGCAUACGACCUACGGGUGAAAGUAGGGGAUCUUCGGACCUUGCGCGAUUGAAUGAGCCGAUGUCGGAUUAGCUAGUUGGCGGGGUAAAGGCCCACCAAGGCGACGAUCCGUAGCUGGUCUGAGAGGAUGAUCAGCCACACUGGAACUGAGACACGGUCCAGACUCCUACGGGAGGCAGCAGUGGGGAAUAUUGGACAAUGGGCGCAAGCCUGAUCCAGCCAUACCGCGUGGGUGAAGAAGGCCUUCGGGUUGUAAAGCCCUUUUGUUGGGAAAGAAAAGCAGCAGGUUAAUACCCCGCUGUUCUGACGGUACCCAAAGAAUAAGCACCGGCUAACUUCGUG
rnacentral:rRNA from 1 species